rnacentral:rRNA from 1 species
GAUGAACGCUGGCGGCGUGCCUAAUACAUGCAAGUCGAGCGAACAGACGAGGAGCUUGCUCCUCUGACGUUAGCGGUGGACGGGUGAGUAACACGUGGAUAACCUCCCUAUAAGACUGGGAUAACUUCGGGAAACCGGAGCUAAUACCGGAUAACAUGUUGAACCGCAUGGUUCAACAGUGAAAGACGGUCUUGCUGUCACUUAUAGAUGGAUCCGCGCCGCAUUAGCUAGUUGGUAAGGUAACGGCUUACCAAGGCAACGAUGCGUAGCCGACCUGAGAGAGUGAUCGGCAACACUGGAACUGAGACACGGUCCAGACUCCUACGGGAGGCAGCAGUGGGGAAUCUUCGGCAUUGGGCGAAAGCCUGACGGAGCAACGCCGCGUGAGUGAAGAAGGUCUUCGGAUCGUAAAACUCUGUUAUUAGGGAAGAAGAACUGUGUAAGUAACGAUGCACGGCUUGACGGUACCUAAUCAGAAAGCCACGGCUAACUACGUG